AAGAACACUCCUAUAAAUUCCACCCUAAAACAACUCCCCUAAGCAAUUGCCCCAAAUCAAUUUCCCUUCACUUCCCCAAACCGUUACAAUGAAUUUCCGCUCCGCUUCUCUCUUCCUCAUCCUUCUCCUCCCGCUCCUCGCCGCCGCUCGGAAGGGCAGUCUGCUCGGCGACUGGGAGAAGAUCGCCAACGUGAAGGAUCCACAUAUUCAAGAGAUCGGAGAGUUCGCGGUGGCUGAGUACAACAAGCAAUCCAAAGGCGUCACAAUCGAAUUCAAGGACGUCGUCAGCGGCGAAAAACAGGUCGUUUCCGGUAUGAACUACCGACUCGUUAUCGAUGCGAAGAGAGGCGAGUCGAUUGGCAAAUAUCAGGCGUUGGUCUGGGAGAAGCCAUGGGAGAAUUUCAAGAAACUUACAUCCUUUAAGCCCGCUGCCUAAUUUGUCUGAUCAGCACUAAAAGCCCUAAUUUGCCUUUUGUUUUGUGUUCUUCUUCCUUCUAUGGUGCUGUUUGUUGUUGUGCUGGUAUUUGGUAAUUACGAAAAAUAAAUUAGAAAUUUGGUAGUAAUUUCUGGAGAAAUCGUUUGUCGAUUUUCUUUUCGGUUAAGUUAUGAGAUCUCUGUUUUCUUCGUAAUCUUAAUUAUCUGUGUUAGUGUGGAGAGCCCUUUGUAAUUUUAUAUUAUAAAGAUAUGUUGUUUUAAAUGUCUCGAAUGCUAUUGGGAG
rnacentral:misc_RNA from 1 species